GGGAGCGGCUCUGGACAAUGAUGAGAAGGAAUCAGGCGGCUCGGGGCCACCUUGGCCCUGAUGGGAGCGGCUCUGGACAAUGAUGAGAAGGAAUCAGGCGGCUCGGGGCCACCUUGGCCCUGAUGGGAGCGGCUCUGGACAAUGAUGAGAAGGAAUCAGGCGGCUCGGGGCCACCUUGGCCCUGAUGGGAGCGGCUCUGGACAGUGAUGAGAAGGAAUCAGGCGGCUCGGGGCCACUGUGGCCCUGGUGAGAGCAGCUCUGGACAGUGAUGAGAAAGAAUCAGGCCUCCAGUUUAGGGACUCUGUUCCUGGUGAUCCCUGGGCUAAAGGACUAAUCAGGGGAAUCUCAGUAUUUUCCCUGACACUCUUUAGAGGAAGAAUCACAAAGAGCCUGGGGCUGGCUGGAAUUUUCUCCCGUGCAGUCGUCCAGCCUCCCGUGGCAGGGAGCGGCAUCUCAGUGUGCGAAGCCCUUUGUAUACUUCCCUGGAAUGUGGCUUUUAUUUUGUAACAAAGCAAAUGUUUUACUGCUGGUUUUCCUUUAACAAAUAAAUAUUGGCUCCAACACAUGUCAGAGAAAGUCGACAACAAUAAACCCAAGUGU
rnacentral:lncRNA from 1 species